rnacentral:rRNA from 1 species
CCUAAUACAUGCAAGUCGAGCGAACGGACAGGAGUGCUUGCACUCCUUGAAGUUAGCGGCGGACGGGUGAGUAACACGUGGGUAACCUACCUAUAAGACUGGGAUAACUUCGGGAAACCGGAGCUAAUACCGGAUAAUAUAUACCUCCGCAUGGAGGAAUAGUCAAAGACGGUUCUGCUGUCACUUAUAGAUGGACCCGCGGUGUAUUAGCUAGUUGGUGAGGUAACGGCUCACCAAGGCAACGAUACAUAGCCGACCUGAGAGGGUGAUCGGCCACACUGGGACUGAGACACGGCCCAGACUCCUACGGGAGGCAGCAGUAGGGAAUCUUCCGCAAUGGACGAAAGUCUGACGGAGCAACGCCGCGUGAGUGAAGAAGGUUUUCGGAUCGUAAAACUCUGUUGUAAGG